AUUGAACGCUGGCGGCAUGCUUUACACAUGCAAGUCGAACGGGGUGAAGGGGCAACUCUUCAUUCAGUGGCGAACGGGUGAGUAAUGCAUCGGAACGUACCUCGUAGUGGGGAGUAACUCGGCGAAAGCCGUGCUAAUACCGCAUAUGCUCUACGGAGGAAAGCAGGGACCGUGAGAGGGCCUUGUGCUAUGGGAGCGGCCGAUGUCCGAUUAGCUAGUUGGNGGGGUAAUGGCCUACCAAGGCGACGAUCGGUAGCUGGUCUGAGAGGAUGAUCAGACCACCACUGGGACUGAGACACGGCCCAGACUCCUACGGGAGGC
rnacentral:rRNA from 1 species